CAGAGUUAUUAUAUCUGCAGCUCAAUAGCUGUCAUCACCCAGCAAAGUGCAGUAGUGUGUGACGCUCCGUGCUAGAUAGAGGGCAAGCGGUCUCAGAUUCCGACACCCUGCCAGAACAACUUCUCUGCAGCAAACCAAAGACUUUUGCAGAGAUGGUAGUUCCAAACCAGUGUUGUUGUGGGUGCUCGCUCAGGACGGGCACCAUCAUCAUUGCCGUCUUGAGUAUGUUGGGGUGCCUUUUUCAAUUAGCAAUAACAGCGUACAAAUUACACAACACCCUUCACUACCUCAGCGGUGAUGUAAACGGGAAAAUGUCAGUUUGGAAGAAAAUGAAAACUUUGUCGACUCAACCUGGUGCUUACUUGGUACCUGCUAUAGACGAUUACGAGGAAUCAUGUGCUGAGGAUUAUAAAUAUGUCUUUGAGGAUGAAUAUGAAGAAGGAAAUUAAGUUGACAAACAAGAAACACAAGAAGAUGAAGCUGAAGAAGACUUAAUAAAACUUUCAUUUUCUGUUAUUAAUACAUAUUUUCUGUGAU